rnacentral:rRNA from 1 species
CGGACACGGCUGGCGGCGUUGCUUAAAAACAUGCAAGUCGAACGGACUUCUCAUGAAGCUUGCGAUUGAAGAAGUUAGUGGCGGACGGGUGAGUAACGCGUGGGCAACCUGCCCCUGAGCCCGGGAUAACAGUUCGAAAGGACUGCUAAGACCGGAUAUACUUGCGGGGAAGCAUUUCACUGCAAGGAAAGGGAACGCUCAGGGGAUGGGCCCGCGUCCCAUUAGCUAGUUGGUGAGGUAACGGCCCACCAAGGCGACGAUGGGUAGCCGGCCUGAGAGGGUGACCGGCCACACUGGGACUGAGACACGGCCCAGACUCCUACGGGGGGCAGCAGUGGGGGAUCUUGCACAAUGGGCGAAAGCCUGAUGCAGCGACGCCGCGUGAGCGAAGAAGGCCUUCGGGUUGUAAAGCUCUGUCUGGAGGGACGAACAAAAUGACGGUACCUCCGGAGGAAGCCACGGCUAACUACGUG